UAUUGCACAAUGGGGGAAACCCUGAUGCAGCGACGCCGCGUGAGCGAAGAAGUAUUUCGGUAUGUAAAGCUCUAUCAGCAGGGAAGAAAAUGACGGUACCUGACUAAGAAGCUCCGGCUAAAUACGUGCCAGCAGCCGCGGUAAUACGUAUGGAGCAAGCGUUAUCCGGAUUUAUGGGGUGUAAAGGGAGCGUAGGCGGCCUGGCAAGUCUGGUGUGAAAUACCGGGGCCCAACCCCGGGACUGCAUUGGAAACUGCCAGGCUGGAGUGUCGGAGGGGCAGGCGGAAUUCCUAGUGUAGCGGUGAAAUGCGUAGAUAUCAGGAGGAACACCGGCGGCGAAGGCGGCCUGCUGGACUGAAACUGACGUUGAGGCUCGAAAGCGUGGGGAGCAAACAGG
rnacentral:rRNA from 1 species